rnacentral:lncRNA from 1 species
GAUCCGACGGUCCAUGUUUGCUGUCGAUUUAUAAGAGGAGGUUUUGCGCGAUCUGACGGUCAAAAACUCAUCCAUCAUCAGAUCCAAUUGUCCAGACGCAUUAUCGAUUUUGAAUAGGACUCUUCUACAUGAUCCGACGGCUCAAAAGUGAUCUAUCACACGAUCAGAUGGCUAUUAUUGAAUCUAACUUUGAUAAAGAUUAAAACAUUGAUUUUUGAUCAAAUCUGGAUGGUCCAAGCUUCAUCCAACGGCCAAAAAAAUUUUUAAAGAUUUUAUACAUUUUCUAAGGGUGUUAGGA